rnacentral:tRNA from 1 species
UUGUGUUUAGUAUAAAAAGUAUAUUAGAUUUAGGUUCUAGAGAUUAAGACAUAAU